rnacentral:rRNA from 1 species
UACAGAGGGUGCAAGCGUUAAUCGGAAUUAUUGGGCGUAAAGGGCUUGUAGGUUGUUCUAUAAGUUAGAUGUGAAAACCCUGGGCUUAACCUGGGACGUGCAUUUAAUACUGUAGAGCUAGAGUAUGGUAGAGGAGUAGGGAAUUCCUGGUGUAGCAGUGAAAUGCGUAGAGAUCAGGAGGAACAUCAGUGGCGAAGGCGCUACUCUGGACUAAUACUGACACUGAGACACGAAAGCGUGGGUAGCAAACAGG